CAAAAUUGUCUGUUCAAUAUAUGCCAGUACAGGUCAUUUUGGCUCCCACUGAAUUUUCCCAUUAAUAAUUAGGAACAUUGGCAGUGAACAAAUGGCAGGGAACAAGGUUGGUCUGGUGUGUUGUAUCAAGAACAACAUACAGGCAAUGAGAAGCAUCAGGCUCCUGAACCAUCGUGGACAGCUUCACCGGCCUCUGCACUGAACUGAUUCCACAAUCCAUAGACUGACUCUACAACUCAUGAGUGGCCACUCUUAGGUUGGAGAGGCAAAACCUCAUAUUGUGUCUGGAUAUCCCAAAAUCUGAAGGCAUGAACAUGGAUUUCUCCAACUUCUGAAGUCAUGAGCCACUCCGAUCUAUGGCAAAGAACACACCAGCUACCAGUGGACGAAGAAUUAAGGACAAUAAGUUGGAGACGAAUAGGACACAUGCUACAUGAGCCAGGUACCAUCAUCACCAGGGAAAGCGGAAGAGAGGCUGACCAAAGAACAUCUGGUGAGGCGACCUUGAAGCUGACACCAAGAAGAUGGGCUACACCUGGGGACCAGUUGCAUGACUGGCCCAGGACAGAGGACUCCAGAGAGAAGAUGUCAGUGGCCUCUGCUCCAGUAGGAGUGAUGGGCUUAACCAAACUGACGAGACAUUGCAACCACAUUAAGAUAACGGUGAGCAGAGUGAAAGCUUAAAGUGACAAAUGCAACACUCCUUUCUUUCUCCUGAGGCCUCCCGUCCCAUGAUCCUUUCCCUUCUCCAGCUCUGUAUCACUUUCGCCAAUCACCUUUCCAGCUCUUAGCUUCAUCCCCCUCCGGUCUUCUCCUAUCAUUUCGCAUUUCCCCCUCCCCCCACUACUUUCAAAUCUCUUACUAUCUUUCCUUUUGGUUAGUCCUGACGAAGGGUCUCAGCCUGAAACGUCGACAGCGCUUCUCCCUAUGGAUGCUGCCUGGCCUGCUGUGUUCCACCAGCAUUUUGUGUGUGUUGUUGUACCAAUCAAUUGGAUUGCUUUGCCCUAGCUAUAACAUAGGACAGUACAGAGAAGGAGCAGGCCCCUUGACCUACCCUGUCUGUGCUAACCGUGCCAAUCUAAAGCCAUCCCAUGGUCUGUAUCUCUCUAGUCCCUGCCCAUUCUGUUUAAGUGCCUCUUAAAUGCCACUGCCAUGUCUGCUCCCAUCACCAGCCCUGGAAGCAAAUUCCAGGCAACUAUCAUUUUCUGUGUUUAAAUAAAACUUGCCUUGUAAAUUUCCUUUAAAAUUUCCCCCUACCUCCUUCAGGUAUUUGAUAUUUCCACCCAGGAAAAAGACUCUGCCUUUCUACCUUGCCUUUCAUGAUUUUGUAUGCUUCUAUCAGGUAGUCCUCCAGUCUCUGAUGCUCCAGAGAAAUCAAUCCAAUAUUGUAUACAUCCUCUUCUUAUAACUAAUGUGUUCCAGCAAGACAACAUAAGGCCAAUCAGCCCAUCAAGCCAUUUGAUCAUGACUGAUUUAUUAGCCCUCUCAAACCCAUUCUCCUGUCUUCUCUCAGUAACCUUUGGCAUCUUUACUUGUGAAGAACCUAGCAACCUCUGCCCUAAAUAUACCCAAUGACUUGACCACCUCAGCCAUCUGUAGCAAUGAAUUCCACAGACUCACCACCCUCUGGCUAAAGAACAUUUUCCUCAUCUCUGUUCUAAAUGGACGUCUCUCUAUGGGUGUGCGCUCUGGUCCUAGACUCACCCAUCAUAGGACAUCCUCUCCAUAUCCACUCUAGCCAAACCAUUCAUCAUUCGAUAGGUUUCAAUGAGAUCCCCCCUCAUUCUUCUAAACUCCAGUGAGUACAGGCCCAGAGCCAUCAAAUGUUCCUCAUAUGUUAACCCUUUCAUUUCUUGGGAUCAUUCUCGUGAACCUCUUCUGCACUCUCUCCGAAGCCUCCACAUUCUUUCUAGAGUGUGGUGACCAGAACUGUUCACAUUAUUGCAAAUGCAGCCUGACCAAUGUUUUAUACAACUGCAACAUGUCUUUGCUACAGAAGUGGUUUGCCAUUGCCUUCUUCUGGGCAGUGUCUUUACAAGACAGGUGACCCCAGCCAUUAUCAAUACUCUUCAGAGGUUGUCUGCCUGGUGUCAAUGGUCGCAAAACCAGGACUUGUGAUAUACACCAGCUGCUCACACGACCAUCCACCACCUGCUCCAUGGCUUCACAUUACCCUGGUUGGGGAGUGGUGCUAAGCAGGUGCUACACCUUGCUCAAGGUUGACCAGCAGGAGUGCCUUCGGCCCUCUUUGGUAUAGACGUAUCUCCAUGUAUCCAUUUACUAUAUUACUGGUUGGUAUUAAACUUUGUGAGUAUUAGGAGAAUGACACUUAUCCAGGAAAAUGAAGUCAGGUCCAGAUGUCGAGGCCUGGUUGCUGGAGCCUGGGUCUGCGAGACUGAUGGGAAUGUUGCUGCUCAGUGUCUGAGAAUCCUUAGGUCCACUGUUGGCCAAAGAAGAUGGCUUGUCUUGUGGUUGGAGAGCUGUGUUUGUGCGUAGGUGGGUGAUUGGGAACUUGUUUCCCUGUUGUUGCUUUGUCAAUUGGUACAUUCUGUUUUGUUGCAUUCUGUGUUGCUCUGCCAAGCAUUGUGGGCAUGCUAUGUUCAAAGUUCAAAGUACAUUCAUUAUCAAAGAACGCGUACAGAAUACAGCUCUGAGAUCCAUCUUCCCGCAGACAGCCUGGAAACAAAGAAACACCUUGAAACUCGUUCAAGAAAACUUCAAACACCCAGUAUGCAUAAAAAGAACAGUUGGUGCAAAUAGCAAAAAGGAAGUGAACAACACAAAGAAUAUUAAAGAUCAAACUGGUAGCGUUCUGUUUUGUUCAUUUCAGCAGCUCGUCACUAGCCAAUGUAAGCCUCUUGGCAAUUCUUCACUGAAGUGCUUCAGUCCACAUUGAUCACCCCGAUCAAACCACACAAAAGCAGCAGUAACAAAGAGUAUUCAGAGCCUCGUAGUCCCUAGAAUGUCCACAGGCUCGUUACUCAACCUGGCAAUGUGGAUCCCAAGACUCCUGCACUUUCCUCUGACAGCAGCUAGUGAAAGGAAGAGGAAUGCUGGCUAAACGCAGGCAGACAGCAACAUGGGAGAGUUGCACCCGGUACACCCAUGGGUGUGAUGGUUGCUAACACAAGUGACACAUUUCACUGUAUGUUCCAAUGUACAUGUAAUAAAUAAAU